UUGAAUCCGCAAGUAAAAUUUUGAGUUCUGCAAAAUGCCAUUUUAAAACCGAUAAUUUACAGGAGGUUUUCUGCAUUUUUAUGGCCUUGUAGAAUUCGAUUAAUAUUGUUGGAUUUCCCAGUAUUUGUUAUACAAAAACCGUUUGCGGGUUAUAUUUAUAAUAUUAGGGCUUUUUUGAAAGACCACGAUGUAGAACUCGUGAAAAACAAAGCCUUGUUAUGGUAUCCAAGAGCAAGUAGUAGUUCUCAUAGCCAGACGCAUGUACGCGCGCUCAGGUUUGCGCGCGAGCUAGCACCAUGACGAGCCUUUUCCAACAUCGUCAUUCUUCCUUUCACUUCCUCUGACUUUGUGCUUCAUGAUGAUCCACUUACCAUAUAACUCUGCCAAUCAUUCAUUUGGGAAAAAACUUGGAUUUCCAGGAACUACGUUAAACUGCUGACUCAAUUUUCUUUAACCCGGACGAUUGCCAUCAGGUGCUUUCGACAACACGGAUUUCCAAGUCUUUCAGCCUACGCACAGUGAAAAAGAAACGUCCCUUACGGGUGGCGCCAGUUUUGCUAAUGCCAGCAAACGUCAAGCGCCUGCGCUCCAGUGC